CGGUGGAUGCCCUGGCAGUCAGAGGCGAUGAAGGACGUGCUAAUCUGCGAUAAGCGUCGGUAAGGUGAUAUGAACCGUUAUAACCGGCGAUUUCCGAAUGGGGAAACCCAGUGUGAUUCGUCACACUAUCAUUAACUGAAUCCAUAGGUUAAUGAGGCGAACCGGGGGAACUGAAACAUCUAAGUACCCCGAGGAAAAGAAAUCAACCGAGAUUCCCCCAGUAGCGGCGAGCGAACGGGGAGCAGCCCAGAGCCUGAAUCAGUGUGUGUGUUAGUGGAAGCGUCUGGAAAGGCGCGCGAUACAGGGUGACAGCCCCGUACACAAAAAUGCACAUACUGUGAGCUCGAUGAGUAGGGCGGGACACGUGGUAUCCUGUCUGAAUAUGGGGGGACCAUCCUCCAAGGCUAAAUACUCCUGACUGACCGAUAGUGAACCAGUACCGUGAGGGAAAGGCGAAAAGAACCCCGGCGAGGGGAGUGAAAAAGAACCUGAAACCGUGUACGUACAAGCAGUGGGAGCCUCUUUUAUGGGGUGACUGCGUACCUUUUGUAUAAUGGGUCAGCGACUUAUAUUCUGUAGCAAGGUUAACCGAAUAGGGGAGCCGAAGGGAAACCGAGUCUUAACUGGGCGUUAAGUUGCAGGGUAUAGACCCGAAACCCGGUGAUCUAGCCAUGGGCAGGUUGAAGGUUGGGUAACACUAACUGGAGGACCGAACCGACUAAUGUUGAAAAAUUAGCGGAUGACUUGUGGCUGGGGGUGAAAGGCCAAUCAAACCGGGAGAUAGCUGGUUCUCCCCGAAAGCUAUUUAGGUAGCGCCUCGUGAAUUCAUCUCCGGGGGUAGAGCACUGUUUCGGCAAGGGGGUCAUCCCGACUUACCAACCCGAUGCAAACUGCGAAUACCGGAGAAUGUUAUCACGGGAGACACACGGCGGGUGCUAACGUCCGUCGUGAAGAGGGAAACAACCCAGACCGCCAGCUAAGGUCCCAAAGUCAUGGUUAAGUGGGAAACGAUGUGGGAAGGCCCAGACAGCCAGGAUGUUGGCUUAGAAGCAGCCAUCAUUUAAAGAAAGCGUAAUAGCUCACUGGUCGAGUCGGCCUGCGCGGAAGAUGUAACGGGGCUAAACCAUGCACCGAAGCUGCGGCAGCGACACUUAUGUGUUGUUGGGUAGGGGAGCGUUCUGUAAGCCUGUGAAGGUGUGCUGUGAGGUAUGCUGGAGGUAUCAGAAGUGCGAAUGCUGACAUAAGUAACGAUAAAGCGGGUGAAAAGCCCGCUCGCCGGAAGACCAAGGGUUCCUGUCCAACGUUAAUCGGGGCAGGGUGAGUCGACCCCUAAGGCGAGGCCGAAAGGCGUAGUCGAUGGGAAACAGGUUAAUAUUCCUGUACUUGGUGUUACUGCGAAGGGGGGACGGAGAAGGCUAUGUUGGCCGGGCGACGGUUGUCCCGGUUUAAGCGUGUAGGCUGGUUUUCCAGGCAAAUCCGGAAAAUCAAGGCUGAGGCGUGAUGACGAGGCACUACGGUGCUGAAGCAACAAAUGCCCUGCUUCCAGGAAAAGCCUCUAAGCAUCAGGUAACAUCAAAUCGUACCCCAAACCGACACAGGUGGUCAGGUAGAGAAUACCAAGGCGCUUGAGAGAACUCGGGUGAAGGAACUAGGCAAAAUGGUGCCGUAACUUCGGGAGAAGGCACGCUGAUAUGUAGGUGAAGUCCCUUGCGGAUGGAGCUGAAAUCAGUCGAAGAUACCAGCUGGCUGCAACUGUUUAUUAAAAACACAGCACUGUGCAAACACGAAAGUGGACGUAUACGGUGUGACGCCUGCCCGGUGCCGGAAGGUUAAUUGAUGGGGUUAGCGGUAACGCGAAGCUCUUGAUCGAAGCCCCGGUAAACGGCGGCCGUAACUAUAACGGUCCUAAGGUAGCGAAAUUCCUUGUCGGGUAAGUUCCGACCUGCACGAAUGGCGUAAUGAUGGCCAGGCUGUCUCCACCCGAGACUCAGUGAAAUUGAACUCGCUGUGAAGAUGCAGUGUACCCGCGGCAAGACGGAAAGACCCCGUGAACCUUUACUAUAGCUUGACACUGAACAUUGAGCCUUGAUGUGUAGGAUAGGUGGGAGGCUUUGAAGUGUGGACGCCAGUCUGCAUGGAGCCGACCUUGAAAUACCACCCUUUAAUGUUUGAUGUUCUAACGUUGGCCCCUGAUCGGGGUUGCGGACAGUGUCUGGUGGGUAGUUUGACUGGGGCGGUCUCCUCCUAAAGAGUAACGGAGGAGCACGAAGGUUGGCUAAUCCUGGUCGGACAUCAGGAGGUUAGUGCAAUGGCAUAAGCCAGCUUGACUGCGAGCGUGACGGCGCGAGCAGGUGCGAAAGCAGGUCAUAGUGAUCCGGUGGUUCUGAAUGGAAGGGCCAUCGCUCAACGGAUAAAAGGUACUCCGGGGAUAACAGGCUGAUACCGCCCAAGAGUUCAUAUCGACGGCGGUGUUUGGCACCUCGAUGUCGGCUCAUCACAUCCUGGGGCUGAAGUAGGUCCCAAGGGUAUGGCUGUUCGCCAUUUAAAGUGGUACGCGAGCUGGGUUUAGAACGUCGUGAGACAGUUCGGUCCCUAUCUGCCGUGGGCGCUGGAGAACUGAGGGGGGCUGCUCCUAGUACGAGAGGACCGGAGUGGACGCAUCACUGGUGUUCGGGUUGUCAUGCCAAUGGCACUGCCCGGUAGCUAAAUGCGGAAGAGAUAAGUGCUGAAAGCAUCUAAGCACGAAACUUGCCCCGAGAUGAGUUCUCCCUGACUCCUUGAGAGUCCUGAAGGAACGUUGAAGACGACGACGUUGAUAGGCCGGGUGUGUAAGCGCAGCGAUGCGUUGAGCUAACCGGUACUAAUGAACCGUGAGGCUUAACCU
rnacentral:rRNA from 1 species